rnacentral:lncRNA from 1 species
AAAUAAAAAAAAUCGUGCGGGACAACUUAAGAAGGGGUGGCAGAGAUGAAAAUCUAUCAAUUAAUUUUAAUUGGUCUAAUUUAAAUUAUUGAAGUGAACUAUUUCAUUUGUAUUUAUUGACAAGAUAGACCAUUAGACAGACAACUGAUUUACUUGACUCUAAUUGGUGAUUUAAACUGUGUGAACUCGAGUGUGUCACUAAGUGGACC